rnacentral:snoRNA from 1 species
AAUGUGAUGAAUUUGCCAGACCUACGCUGUGCGUAGAUCGGCACCAACCGUCGUAUACUCUCUCGAUGUUGGUGUUUUCGCUCCUGGCAUAGAACAAACUUUUACGACCCGUUGCUGGGCACCUGGCUUUGAGCAGUCGUCUUGACUAUCAUGAGAAGUUGGGAAUCAGCUGAGGUUACAUAU